rnacentral:lncRNA from 1 species
UACAAUUCUUCAUAGAGAAUCACUCCCCAGAUGGAAAGUAACUCUGUCUGACAAUAAGCCUUUGGCCAAGUUCUUAAGAAAAGUCAGGAUUUCCUUGUAUAGAGGGAACUUCCUUAUUCGUCUUGGAUUCUAGGAGUUCUCAGGGACUCAUGAAGUCAGCCUCACAGGUCAAUCAGGCUGUGCUAGCCCAGCUUGAACAACCUCCAGACACAAGGCUGGCUCUCUCCCAUCAUUCCAGACAAGAUACUGGCUGCAUGUACGUCUGCACAUUGGAAUACAUCAUCAGAUGGUUGUGAGAUGCCGAAUGGGUGCUGGAUAUUGAACUCAGAGCCUUCGGAAGAGCGCUGGACAGGCAGUGGCAACAAAAAACAGGAGAGGCUGACUUGGAGUUUCUGGGCAAGCUCAGGCUUAGACUUCUGAGUAGCUGAAACUGCAGACCAUGCAACAGCCAUGCCUGGCUUUGGCUUUGUCUUUUAAAGUGGCGGGUCUCUAUGAAGCCCAGGCUGACUUUCAACUUUGGUCUUCCUGCAUGAAAUACAGCAUAUGCCAGCACAUUCAGCACCAGCUUGACCGAGGGCAACUCACCUUCCCCUGAAUAAUCCACAUGGCUGAUUGUGGAAAGUGGUUUGAGAGGGAUGAAAUAGUUACAAUACACGCCAGAGAUUAAAGAUUUCUCGGGGCUAGUGGGCUAGCUCCAUGGGAGCCUAACAACUCUCAUCUCUAGAACCCAUUCAAAAGUGGAGAAAACGAACUCCACAGAGCUCUCCUCCGACCUCCGCACUCAGAUCACAGUAUAUAUGUAUACUCCUAAACACCACACACAAAACAGAAAACAAUGAUACACACAUUUAAUAAAAAUGUUCAACAGUUUCCAAAAUGUUUACCAGGGAGGAAAACAAAAGUCUCCUUCCUUUUAUUCCUUGGUAUUCUGUCUCCUCUAAAAAUAAAAAACUUUCUUCUCAGCUUUUAAGGAGAUCGUAAGAGGCUCCA